UACAGAGGGUGCGAGCGUUAAUCGGAAUUACUGGGCGUAAAGGGCGCGUAGGCGGCCUUCUAAGUCGAACGUGAAAGCCCCGGGCUCAACCUGGGAAGUGCACUCGAAACUGCUUGGCUUGAGUACUGGAGAGGGAAGCGGAAUUCUCGGUGUAGAGGUGAAAUUCGUAGAUAUCGAGAGGAACACCGGUGGCGAAGGCGGCUUCCUGGACAGUUACUGACGCUGAGACGCGAAAGCGUGGGGAGCAAACAGG
rnacentral:rRNA from 1 species